rnacentral:ncRNA from 1 species
AUUGUAUUUCGAGCCUGUAUUCCUAAAGGAGACCAUGGACUGCAGGCCUGAGCUAUGGCUCACAGGGUAUGCGGGGAAACCUUCGUGCCUUCCGUGUUUGAAAAGAAAUA